ACGGGAGGCAGCAGUGGGGAAUAUUGCACAAUGGGGGAAACCCUGAUGCAGCGACGCCGCGUGGAGGAAGAAGGUCUUCGGAUUGUAAACUCCUGUUGUUGGGGAAGAUAAUGACGGUACCCAACAAGGAAGUGACGGCUAACUACGUGCCAGCAGCCGCGGUAAAACGUAGGUCACAAGCGUUGUCCGGAAUUACUGGGUGUAAAGGGAGCGCAGGCGGGAAGACAAGUUGGAAGUGAAAUCUAUGGGCUCAACCCAUAAACUGCUUUCAAAACUGUUUUUCUUGAGUAGUGCAGAGGUAGGCGGAAUUCCCGGUGUAGCGGUGGAAUGCGUAGACAUCGGGAGGAACACCAGUGGCGAAGGCGGCCUACUGGGCACCAACUGACGCUGAGGCUCGAAAGUGUGGGUAGCAAACAGGAUUAGAUACCCUGGUAGUCCACACCGUAAACGAUGAUUAUUCAGGUGUUGGCAGGCAUUGCACCCCUUCCAGUGCC
rnacentral:rRNA from 1 species